CAUAGCUCAAUUAUUUCUGGGCCCUUCCAUGUAAUUCCGUUUCUUAAUAAGUUACAGUAUCGCAUUACGCCUCCCAUCGCCACUACCUGUAAUAAAAAUAUUUCUUUUGUACCAAAUGUUAUCUUUGUGGAAAAACUCUAAUGGUAUUUAUAGCAAGAAAAAUAUUGAUAGCUUAAAAAGAACGCGGUAAAAACUAGGCUUCUGCAAAAAAUGCUUGAUAUACGAUAGUGACUGACCAUGCUCAUUUAUAAGUGAGGAUUAGGUACGCUCAUUCCUAUUGUAAUUUUAUUUCUAGUUGCAGAUAAUCAUUAUCAAAUGGUUAAUCACUUAGCUACAGCAAACUGGCUUAAAUUUUCCGCGCGACAAUAAUGUCAAUUUGUAUGAAUCCGAUUGGCGAACAAUAAAGUCGUAAGGAAUAAAAACUAAAAUACGUUUUUUAUGGAAACGAAAACACAACAGAAACGAUUUUGUGGGAAUUUCAAUUUGAUUACACCUUCAUUUGCAUUCGCAUUAAUUUCAGAAAUUUCCAUAAUAACUUUGGUACAAAAUUUGCAUAUUUGGGAAAGGAAAAGAAAUUACAAGAAUGAUUUAAUUACUUACGUUAAUGAUAGUUCUUGAUAUGAAAAACGCCACUUCUGCUUUGCAUAGGGCGUCAAAUUGCUGAAACAAAUACAACGAGUUAACUUCCGGCAGCUCUUCACACUUUCAAAAUGAAAAUUCGCAAUUCGAAAAGAGGUAGCUACAAAAUUCAAUUACACCCAACGCGGAUAUUUACAUUAAACUUUGUUAACAGCCGCAUUCAGUGUACGACUGUACGCGUUCACAGAAUGAGAGAUAAUUCACAGACAUACCUACCCUAUUUACAUGAUCUCUUAAGACGUUCGAGUAAACCAUCGCAACAGCUUCUAGAGCCAUAAAGGUUAUAAAUCCGAUUAUCCAAGGUAUCACAAACGAUGUAUUUUCCUGAAAACAAAUACAACUGUUAGGAUAGAAACAAACUGUAUAAAGAAAUUCGAACAAAUGGGCAGUACGAUUCAACGAAAGACAUACUUAUUACAAUACCAACUUGUAUCGGGCGUCUUGGGCGACAGCGAAGGGUAUAAGGAGUUGGUUUCAGUUUGGAAGUAGAUUGUUUGUUAAUUUGGAGUUAAUAUAAUUGCUUUACUUGAACCAUAUUGAAAAUUACACGUAUCAGUUUAGUACGAGCUUCGCCACGAUAGAAUAUUCGUUAUUCUUGACCCUAUUUUCAUCUACUGAACAGUUGGACCUUGGUCAAUUUAUUUUACAAUACAGCAUUAAACGUCUAUUAAUUAUCUACAAUAAAUUAGAAAAACAUUUAACAACUUUUGGAAAAACCCUCUAAAAUAUGGCAACACGCCUCAAACUCUCCAUCUAAAUAUCGCACAUAAUAAAAAUUGAAAAGGAAAGUGGUAGCAUUGAACAGGAGACAUAUUUUGAAAGAUCGAUUUAUACAGUUGUGUUUUCUACACCUGAGAAUUAGGUGGCCAAAAAACAACUGCUGCACUAAAGCGUAGUUCUUUGGUUAUGAGCUUUAGUAUGUACGUCGACAUUUUAAACCGAAGCGUAAGGAUUGUGGAAAAUGCAACGAUGCAUACUAACCCUGUGAAACGUUAAACUAUCACCUUAGCAUUGUUUCAUUCGUAGGGCAGGAACGAAAGAAACAAAUCAGCGACAUGACUGUUUUCGUUAAAAAGAACCCAUUUUGUAGGCGUUCAUUAGUUUAGUUUUAAAUUGAUUUGUUUUCGGUCUAACAGUGUGAUCACUCUUGCAGCUCAAAGUUUAAUUAUUUUUUCGAGAUUAAUUCGGGUCCGUUACAAGAGCAAUUGGUGUAGAGUCCGAAAAUAAAUUCGUUAUCAGAUGGUUUGGGUACUGAGUCACGGUAGUGUUAACCGUGGGGUUCGCAUCCGGAAAUAUUAAAACGAAUUCGGUUAUGGAUUACUCACGCAUCCUCUGUGUGGUUCGAAUUAAUAGUUUUUGCAUUACGGUUCGAACAGCAGGGCAACAAAAAAUCAAGUGGUGAUUACGGGUAUUUUUUUAAACAGAAAUUUAAAUCGCGAGUUUCGUGCGUAAACUAACACCCAGAAGUGAAUUAAUUACUUAAAAUACUUGAGCAGUUGAGUAGGCGAAUUCCGUCGCGUGAAAUUAUUACGGUAUUCAGUCGAGGACAAAUUAAUUAAACGUGCCUGUGUAUUUUAUGCUACAAAGGGCUAUUGUUUAGAGUUAUUCCGGAACAAUCUACAACGUCAUUAUGUAUUUCAUUUUUCCGGAUCAAUUGUCGUUGUAAGGAGAGCCGUUCCAAGCUUAUUCUAUAUCAACACCGUCAUCUGUAGAAUGGCAUUUUUUAUGUGACGUACGGUCAGUUUUAUUUAUGUAAAAAAUUAAGGGCUGUAUAUCUUUAAGAAAAAUCGUCGUAGCUUAUAAUUGAUCGAAGUUUCAAAAAUUUUUAAGGAUAAUUUUGGCUUAUAUCUUCUUAAAUCAAUUUGGAGUCGCUUGUAUUACAAGACUUUUGUCGGUUAUGAACUCAUAUGAUUUGGAUUUGAUAUAAAACAUUAGUUUUCAUUUAAAAGGUGUUUUGAUUUAAAGUUCAAAAAGGGCAAUUUCCGAAUGAAUGGUUAAUCUGGUUAAUUAUACUGCGUACAUUGUAUGAAAAUUUGCCAUAUCCUGUUAAUAGAUUUUGCAAAAAAGCACACGUUUUCGUACACGAAAUAUACCAGAAUUAAUGAAACUUUGAUGAAUGAUUGAUGGAAGGUACCAGCUUUAACGAACACCCGGUACUUCGACGAACUCAAACGGGCGAUUCCUUACGAGAAAUUGCAGUCCCGGACAGAUUUUUCGCUAGUAGUUGGAAAUAGGCGGUCAAAUAUCUUUGUAGCAUCGGAAAGCUCUCUUCGAUCUGACGAGGAGGAAAAAAUAUUGUAUAACUUCAGUUCCGUUAAUUAAUGAUUGGCCGAUUUUAGCUGAUCAAUGGUUAUUUAAAACCAGGAUAAAAAUCGGCAAGGUCGCUCGCUCACACGUAGAUAAACCGGAUAAAGUUAACCUGUCUCUUGAUCACAAAAUUUGACACGCGAUCGGUGUUAACUGAACUACCUAAUUUCGGAAUUUAAACUAGGCAAAUUAAGUGAGUAUAAUUACCGGUAUCUAAUCAGACGUGUUGCAGCAAACGGCGUCUGAUUGACAUAGGUUUAGUGUCAAAUGAAGAGCACUUAUUUAGGAUUAAUUUUAACACUGGUCCCAGACUUUUGGGAUAACAGGGGAUCGAGUAAUGAAUUAAAGUUAUAAUUUUUGGGCGUUAUCACCUCAGGUAAUUCAGAUAUUUCUUUUCCGCAUUUUGGGAAUUCUGUAUAAGGAACUGUGUCAACUUGAACGUUAAAUUUUGCAAUUAUACCGUACCAUUUCAUUUCUAUGUAAGCGCUUGAUAUUUUCAUUCCGUUAAUUAUAAAGGGGAUUUGCUUUCUUUAGUUUUGCUUUCAGUUAGAUACUGCUUUGGAAAAUCGCUACCAUUUCCGUGUGCCGUAAUUCUGUUUUAGAUUAUUAGCCAGUGAUCGACCGCCUGUUCCCUGGAGUUUUCCGUUUUCUCCGUCUGAUUACAAGUGGCAGACCGUCCUUGACCAGGAGCAAGGAUCGACAAUCUCCUGGGGGCGCUCGAGGUAAAGCGUCUCGUUUAAUAAGAAGAACGUUCGAUAACAAUGACUAUGGACUAACUAUUUAUAUUCAAUUAUUUGGGGAUCAAAAUAAUUCUAGUACAUUACGGGAGCCAAAUUAAUACUUAUGGACCAAAUGUUUUGAAAAUUGCUUAUCUUAUUUAGUUCGUGGUGAAUCUUUAAGGCGAGUUGGAAUGCGCCUGUUAGAUUAUCUUUUCGUUUCCUUACAAACACUUUUGUGUGGUCCGCACGUUUAAGAGUAGUUUCAUUCAUCACUGACGAAUUUAAUGUCACUUUAAUUGCAAAAUUUUUAAGUAUUACUACCUUCUGGUGAUUAACGGUAUGUUGUGUAAUUCCAGAAUUAUUUCUAAUUAUUUUAUUGUGGAGGAUAUAAUUGAAUUUUGGUGAAUACGAUUUCUAUGCGUUUUAUAUGGGGUUUGAACCAAUUUACUUUUAAAACGUUGGCGACUUGGUGUGUUAUUAUUUUCUAAAUAACCCCAACAUUAUUCGGAGAUAUGUAAAAUUUUGUGUUUUUAAUGAACAGUAGGGUCUCUAGUGUCUAGUGGCCAUUUUUAGGACUAACUAUGGUAAUUCCUCGUUUGAGGUUUCCAGAAAGAUCGUGGAAUGGUUCUGGCCAUUUAAAGAAACUGUGUGGCGCUUAACUAUACGGUAAGUUAAGGAGAAGGACUCCCUUUUUGUAGACAUCAUUCCACAGCUAGCUGACCGCUUAUACACAAGAUUUUGAGGAAAAAAAGCAGUGACAUCUUAACUCACAUCACAUAGUUAAAAAAAUAAAUAACAGAUAAACCAUUGUGUUGUUUGUAAUCGUGUUCAAUUACAAUUUCAAUUUCACUAGCAAAUAAUAUUCCUUUGUGUUCACAUUUAACUAAGUUUGCUUGAUCUAAGCUUCAUUAUACGUUGGAAACAG